GACGAACGCUGGCGGCGUGCUUAACACAUGCAAGUCGAACGGAAAGGCCCUGCUUUUGUGGGGUGCUCGAGUGGCGAACGGGUGAGUAACACGUGAGUAACCUGCCCUUGACUUUGGGAUAACUUCAGGAAACUGGGGCUAAUACCGGAUAGGAGCUCCUGCUGCAUGGUGGGGGUUGGAAAGUUUCGGCGGUUGGGGAUGGACUCGCGGCUUAUCAGCUUGGUGGUGGGGUAGUGGCUUACCAAGGCUUUGACGGGUAGCCGGGCUGAGAGGGUGACCGGCCACGUUGGGACUGAGGUACGGCCCAGACUCGUACGGGAGGCAGCAGUGGGGAAUAUUGCACAAUGGGCGGAAGCCUGAUGCAGCAACGCCGCGUGCGGGAUGACGGCCUUCGGGUUGUAAACCGCUUUCGCCUGUGACGAAGCGUGAGUGACGGUAAUGGGUAAAGAAGCACCGGCUAACUACGUG
rnacentral:rRNA from 1 species